rnacentral:rRNA from 1 species
GCUCUAUGGGUGGCGAGUGGCGGACGGGUGAGUAAUGCAUCGGGACCUACCCAGACGUGGGGGAUAACGUAGGGAAACUUACGCUAAUACCGCAUACGUCCUACGGGAGAAAGCGGGGGAUCGCAAGACCUCGCGCGGUUGGAUGGACCGAUGUGCGAUUAGCUUGUUGGUGAGGUAACGGCUCACCAAGGCGACGAUCGCUAGCUGGUCUGAGAGGAUGAUCAGCCACACUGGGACUGAGACACGGCCCAGACUCCUACGGGAGGCAGCAGUGGGGAAUAUUGGACAAUGGGCGCAAGCCUGAUCCAGCAAUGCCGCGUGUGUGAAGAAGGCCCUCGGGUUGUAAAGCACUUUUAUCAGGAGCGAAAUCUGCAAGGUUAAUACCUUUGCAGUCUGACGGUACCUGAGGAAUAAGCACCGGCUAACUCCGUGCCAGCAGCCGCGGUAAUAC